rnacentral:lncRNA from 1 species
GCCAAUUUUAAACACUUCGAACAAUUUAACCAAUUAAAUAGAAAUGAAACCAAAAUAAAGUACGAAGUAGCAUAAUAACUCAAUAUCUAAGUACAAUCCGAAUUUGGAGUCACAAUUACACGAGCUUCUAGAGGUUCUACACAUAGAGUCUGAAAUAAAUACAACUCUCUCAAAUGAAACGAACAGUAAAUAAGGAAAGAGGAAAGAAACUUCAAGCUCUGCGAACGUCAACAGAUCUACCUCGAGUCUCGAAAUAAGCUAAUCUGAUCUGAAGCACCUCACGUACAACUGGGAUCAGUACCAAAAUCUGCACAAGAAGUGCAGAGUAUUAUAUGAGUACAACCGACCGAAUGUACUCUGUAAGUGUCGAGCCUAACCUCAGCGAAGUAGUGACGAUGCUAUGACAGGACACCCACAUAAUUAAACUUGUACAAACAAGGAUAUAUAUGCAACAUAACAAUGAAUAGAGAUUAAAUACGUACGAUUUGGGAGACGACAUGCGAAGGGGAACAUGAUAUGAUAGCUAUAAUAGGAAUGUCAACAUAAGACAGUCAAGUAAAUCUCCAACCAAUGAAAAGGGAUAGACAUAAUGAAUAAAGAUAGCACGACAUCACCCAUUGUGCUUUUACUCUCAGCCUCACCAUGAAACAAUAAUAAUGGCACGGCAUCACCCUUCAUGCUUUUACUCUAAAUCUCUUCAUGAAAUGACAAAUACAGCACAGUAUCACCCGUUGUGCUUUUACUCUCAAUCUCGUCAUAAAACGAUAAAUACUGCAUAACAUCACCCCUCGUGCUUUAACUCUCUUCCUCACUAUGUAUUAAUCAAUAAAUGAAACAAUAAUCGAUAGGGCAUCAUCCUUCGUGAUUUAACACUCUCCCUUACCAUGUAGCAAUGAAUAUAUAAUAUUUGGGAGAUAGAAUAAGCAAGAAUAAAACUUAUGUCAAUAACGGUUCCACAAUACCAAACCUCAACUUCCAAAAUACUUAAUUAUCACAAAUAGUUCAUAAAUACGGAAAGAACGAUCAAUUAAUUAAUAAACUAGUCUAAGAAUGGAUAUCAUAAUCAAAAAAGGAAAUAAAUUACAAGAAACAAGUCUCACCCGCAUGCUUUAACACAAUAACAACACAUAAGUACUCAUCACCUCACAUAUACAUUGUAUCCAAACAUUUAAACAUGUAGCAAAUAGGCAAACAAGUCCUAAUUCCUCAAGUCAAGAUUAACCACGACACUUACCUUGCUCCAAAAUCGACUCAAAGCUCAACCACAGCCUUGCCUUUUGAACAAGCCUUCGAGCAAACCAAAUCUAGAAAAUUAUUAACCAAACGAUUUAAAAUAAGCGUUAGGAACUACCCGCGAAUGAAAGAAGUUCAACUUAGGUCAUUAUUGAAAAAUCAACAAAAGUCAACUCCCGUGCUCGAUUAGUUCAAACCCGAAGUUCGGAUCAAAACCCAAUUAUUCAUUUACCCCGAGCCCGGUUGUGUAAUUUGUUUAGAAAUCUGACCUCAAUUUGAGGUAUAAAUUUCAAUUUUACAAAAAUUCCUAAUUUUACCCAAAUCCCCUAAUUUCUACCAUGAAAAUCCUAGAUUUAAGGUUGAAAUCUUAUGAAAUGUAAUGUGUAAUUGAAAAAAAGUAGGUUGAGAGUCACUUAAUAAUGAAUUGGGGAAGAUGAACUCUUGGAAAAAUCGCCUCUAAGGUUUUUAGGGUUGAAAAUUUGAAAGAAUGAGAAAAAUCCCGUCUAACUCAGUUUUUACCCAGCAUCAGAUGUCGCAAUUGCAAUAUCUUGUUCACAAUUGCGAGAAAGAGGUCACAAUUGCGAACUUCUCUCAGAAGCCAGUUACCACAAAUGCGAUGAAUUGGUCGCAAAUGCAUACCUCCCAGCCUCGCAAAUGCGAACCUUUCUUUGCAAUUGCGAAGAUUGACAGAAAAAUGCUGAGUUGCAAAUGCGACUCUGCCUUCGCAAAAGCGGAAAUUUGUGAACUUUACCUUGCAAAUGCGAGGAUCCCCCAGCCUGCCUAGGAUCACAAAUGUGAUGCUUUGUUCGCAAAUACAAGGCUUGCAAAUGUGUGAUCUGCAAAAGAAACCAGAAGCAAAAAAGGCAUCAGUUAUGAUUCUAAGUCCAAAUUCACUUCGUAGCCUAUCCGAAACUCACCCAAGCCCUCGGGGCACCAAACCAAACAUGCACACAAGUCUAAGAAUAUCAUACAAACUCGCUCGCGUGAUUAUAACACCAAUAUAACACCUAGAACUAUGAAUCAGACACCAAAUUAAAUGAAACUUGGGAAUUUCUAUUUUAACAACCGGACGUCCGAAUCACGUCAAUUAAACUCUGUUUUGUACAAAACUUUGCAGACAAGUCAUUAAUAUAGUAAUGAACUUCUACCAAGCUCCGGAACCAAAAUCCGAACCCGGUGGCAAUAAGUCAAACUUUGGUCAAAUCUUUAAAUUCUUUAAACUUCAAAUUUUUGACAAAAUGCGAUAACUCGAGCUAGGGACCUCCGAAUUCGAUUCCGGACGUACGCCCAAGUCCCAAAUUACAAUACGGACCCACCGAGACCAUCAAAGCAACAUAUCCAAGUCUGUUUUCUCAAAACAUUGACCGAAGUCAACUCAAAUGGAUUUUUAAGGAACGAAUUCACAUUUUAAUCAGUAUUUCACAUAAAAACCUUCCAUAAAAAGACACGGACUAUGCACGCAAAUCAAGAAAGGAAAAAAGUAGCUAUUUGAGGUUUCAAAACACAGAAUUAAGGUUUAAACUUCUAGAUGACCGUUCAUCCUCGAACGGACAUAGAAAAGUAAUUGGAUUGGUGAAAAAGUGUGGAUAUCUACUCCGCACGUCCGACUCAGACUCCCAAGUGGCUGCCUCGACCGGCUGACCUCUCCACUGCACUCGAGCCGAAGGAUAACUCUUUGACCUCAAUUGUCAGAUCUGCCGAUCUAGAAUAGCCACUGGCUCCUCCUCAUAAGUCAAAUCCUUGUCCAACUGGACUGAGUUGAAAUCUAACACAUGGGACGGAUCACCGUGGUACUUUUGGAUCAUAGACACAUGAUACGCCAGAUGGACUGCUGAUAAACUAGGUGGCAAUAGGAGCUGGUCAGCCACCUCACCCACUCUCUUAAGAAUCUCAAAGGUAGGGGUGUGCAUUCGAUUUAUCGAUUCGAUUUUGGCACUUAUCGAUAAUUACUUAUCGAUUAUCGAUUUGUACAUAUGCUUGUCAUACCCCUUUUUUAACCAAACUUCACUAAACCCUCUUAAAUUAAUAAAAAGAUUUAGUAAAAAUCUUGAAAAAGGUUUUCAAUUUGAAAAGUGACAAAAAUUAUAUUCAAAAGGAAAAUAACUUCAGAGUCGCCACCUGACAUUUGAUUUUGGUGUGUAAGGUCACUGUUUUUUUCUAAAAAUAAUAAUUUUCCUUUCAAAACACUUUGUACUCUAAAACUAAGUCUACACCAGAGAUUUGGGUAAGGGGGUUCAUUUGACACGGGGAGAAGGUGUUAGGCACUCCCCAAGCCCCGUAACUAGUACGGUUGCGUACCCGAUCUAGUUGGCUUUUAGAAUAUUCAAGUCAAGGUAAAAUCACAGAAAAGCAAAAUAAACACACAUGAGGUUUGAGGUCGUCCCCGUCUAAUAAAAGAAAAUGAAAAGGAAAGGAAAAGAAAAAUCCUAAGCUAACCUAUACUACGACUUCUCCACCAUGCUCGUCAAGGCCUCCAAAAUAUUUACAUAGUUCUUCGGGGCAUACCCUGGAUAAUAAUAUAUACAAACCCCUCGGGGCAUUCCUCGGAUAAGUUCAACUAGGAAAACGACCUCUUGCCUCGAAAUUAAAAGCAAACUAAUAGAAAAAUCCUAAUAUUGCCUACCCAAAUGUUGUCGGCCUAAAGCAUGCUCCUAACGGACAAUGUAAUAAAAUAAGCAAAUAAAAGAAAAGAAAAUUCUAAAUCAUGCUCAGAUUUUAUAAUUAAUUUCAUUUACUAGACCAAGCCCAAUCCUAGCAUGCAAAUAAGUUUAAACACUAAUGGGCUAGUCUUUUCCCUAUCCCCACGACCACACAGUCAUUCAAAAUAAUUUAGGCCAAGCAAAGCACAGUGGAUAAUCCAAAUAAACCAACAUCUGAUAACUCGUGAAGCCAAACAAACCAACUAAUAAACAAAGACAUGAUAAAGUAAGACAAUGCAGGGAAUCCCUAGUUAAAUCUAUUCGAGAUAACUCAAAGCAAUGACAACAAACAUGAUAAUAUGCAGGUACUCAAACAUGGAAAUCAUGAGGACUAAGUGACCAUCAAACCUUCUGCAAACUGAAACUUGCGCGAAAAUUGGUCUAAGACCCAUAUGAUUCUCGAACGAUGACGACAAUUCAAGGAGAGCGACUGAUUUAAUUAUACCCAACGAUAAUGAGCCAACAUAUACAAAAUUUUAAUCAAUCCGUUCUUACUUCAAGCAUGGCAGGAAGAGACCAUUCAUAUCAGAGAACAAUCUAACUUAUUCCCAAUCAAGAAAGACAUGACAAUUUGGGAGAAAUAAACGACCAACAUAACUAAUGUCAAACGAGACACCAUAAUGUUUGCUCCUUUUGCGUGUAUGAUCAUGCAGGUUCACAACAAGAAAUGACGAACUAACUAAUGGAUAGACAACUUCUAAUCACACAGAGAAUUCCAGAAAAACUAAAACUAAACAGAGGACUACUUUUAUUCAGUCAAAACUCACGGGAUCGAUCUCACGAUCUGGGUUUAGGCGAAACGAUUCAUUUCACAAAAAACUUGAUUCAUGUUUACAGAUUUUAUCAGAUCAUGAGGAACUCAUAGUAUACAAACGUCGCAAAACAAAAUAUUCGGCAGAAUUUAAGGUAGCAGUUAAUGAAGCCCUAGCCAUGAAUAUGAAAGUUUCAUAUGGUGAUCCAACCAAGCACAACAAAACACUUUCACAUUCAGUGACUUCAAACAAUGACUCUCAAUAGGUUUCAAGAACACUUGUUGAGAAGGUUAAUGAAUAAUAAAUAGAUUUCGGCAAAAACAGACUUGAUUGAAUUUGUUUUCAAAACACACAUAGAAAGCACCAAUUCCAACCGCAAAUGAAAUGCAUCACUGAUUCAUGAUUCAUUUAGUGACCAUAGGAUUAGCUAACUCAAAUCACACAUAUAAGACUAAGCAUGAAGAUUCAGCAAGCUCCUCAAAACAGUGAAACCAAAUCAAGUGCAGCACAUCGAAUGACAAGAACAGAUUGACAAACAGCAUUCUCGAGCACAAAUCUCAACUAGAAAAUAACUCCAAACACAACCUCUACUAAAACACGAUCAAAUAUCUACCACUACAGAGCGAAUUCCUUACGGCUCAUAUCAUAUUUCGAUCACCAUUAACAAUAAUGAGAAGGAAAGAAAUUAACCUGAAAUUGCAAAACUCUUCUUAAUAACAGAAAGCAAGAAACUCAGCUACAAACUUCAGAGUCUAGAAUCCGAGUGAGAAAACAACGCUGAGUUCGAACAAGGAACCGCAUCCGGAAUUCACGAACGGACAACAAUUUGAAACUCGAACUCGAGCACCUCAAGCAAUUCCAUGUUUGCAGACCAAAACUCAAAAUGGAAAUUCCACGAUAGAAAAAGACAGUAAAGAGAUGUAUAUAUUUUUUUGUGUUAGUUUCUGAUUUUCGAAAAUGGAAUAAUACUUGAACAAAAAUCAAACAAACUAUUUUUUUGUAUUUUGUUUUCUGGAAUUGUAACUCAACCGAAAAUGGACCAAAAAAUGAGAAGAGAAGAAGAAACUUCCUAUUAGAUCCUUAAUUUAUUUCCUAACCUUUUUCUCUCCCUCCAUUCUUUGUCCCAGACCCAAAUAUAUAGCUCUCUCUCGAAGCUUCUCUCCUUCCUUUGCAAGAAAUCGCCAGAACCCUUCAAAAAUUCGUGUGGACCCCCAAACAUGAUCCGAAAAUCCUCAUUUUUAACAAAAAUAAAAAAAUGAAAGUCUUGGAUCAAAAUUUAAUUCAAUGGCUCCCAUUUUCCAACCUUUAUUUCAAGGACUCGGAUUUUUUGUUUAAACAAAAGAAAUAAAAGAAGAAAUCCAUGUGAAUCGGAUUGAAAUGAUGAGAUUUGUACGGAAUGAAUGACGUGGAGGAAGGAGAGAAGAGAGGAGGGGACCAUGGGCUAUCACGGGCGAGCGGAAUUGCCCGAUUUGAGCGAGUUGGAGGGGCUGGCGCGGCGGAUUCGUGUAGAAGAAGGGGUGGGGCGCCUGGUGGUCUCUUAGGUUUAGGAUUAGGGUUUAGUGUAAUAUUGGGCUUUUGUAUGGUUUUGGAGGAUUAAUA